rnacentral:rRNA from 1 species
GAUGAACGCUGGCGGCGUGCCUAAUACAUGCAAGUCGAGCGAAUGGAUUAAGAGCUUGCUCUUAUGAAGUUAGCGGCGGACGGGUGAGUAACACGUGGGUAGCCUGCCCAUAAGACUGGGAUAACUCCGGGAAACCGGGGCUAAUACCGGAUAACAUUUUGAACCGCAUGGUUCGAAAUUGAAAGGCGGCUUCGGCUGUCACUUAUGGAUGGACCCGCGUCGCAUUAGCUAGUUGGUGAGGUAACGGCUCACCAAGGCAACGAUGCGUAGCCGACCUGAGAGGGUGAUCGGCCACCCUGGGACUGAGACACGGCCCAGACUCCUACGGGAGGCAGCAGUAGGGAAUCUUCCGCAAUGGACGAAAGUCUGACGGAGCAACGCCGCGUGAGUGAUGAAGGCUUUCGGGUCGUAAAACUCUGUUGUUAGGGAAGAACAAGUGCUAGUUGAAUAAGCUGGCACCUUGACGGUACCUAACCAGAAAGCCACGGCUAACUACGUGCCAGCCGCCGCCGCAG